GCCAGGCACGGUGGCGCGUGCCUGUAGUCCUGGCUACUCAGGCUGAGGUGGGAGGAUUGCUUGAGCCCAGGAGUUCUGGGCUGUGGUGCGCUAUGCCGAUCCAGUGUCUGCACUAAAUUCGGCAUCAGUAUGGUGACCAACCAGGAGCAGGGGACUACCAGGUUGCCUAAGGAGGGGUGAACCAGCCCAGGUUGGAAACGAAGCAGGUCAAAACUCCCAUGCUGAUCAGUAGUGGGAUGGCGCUUGUGAAUAGCCACUGCACUUCAGCCUGGGCAUCAUAGCGAGACCCCGCCUCU
rnacentral:SRP_RNA from 1 species